GUUUCUGUAGUGUAGUGGUUAUCACAUAUCCUUCACACGGAUAGGGUCCUGAGUUCAAUCCUCAGCAGAAACA
rfam:Polysphondylium pallidum PN500 unplaced genomic scaffold PPL_scaffold3, whole genome shotgun sequence.